AAAAAAUCAUUGCCAAGACCAAUAUCAGGAAGCUCUUUGUUUUCUUCUAGAAGUUUUACAGUAUCCGAUCUUAAAAAUCUUUGAUCCAUUUUGAGUGAAUUUUUGUGAGUAUAAAAGGAAUCGUUUCUUUCUUCUGCAUUUGUUUAUCCAGUUUUCCAAAUACCAUUUGUUGAAGAGACUAUCCUUUCCCCAUUGGGUAUUUUUGGUUCCCUUAAUAUUAGUUGACCAUAUAUGUGGGGGUUUAAUUCUGAGGUCUCUACUCUGUUCCAUUCUGUGUAUCUAUUUUUAUACCAGUCCCAUACUGUUUUAAUUACUAUGGUCUGUGGUAUAGUUUGAAACCAGGAAGUAUGAUGCUUCCAGAUUUGCUCUUCUCAUAAUUUUGUUAUUUGGGAUCUUUUGUGGUUCCAUACAAAUAUUUAGGAUUUUUUUUCUAUUUCUGUGAAAAAUGUCAUUUGAAUAUUGAUAGGAAUAACAUUGAAUCUAUAGAUGGCUUGGGUAGAAAUGGACAUUUUAACAGUAUCAAUCCUUCCAAUUCAUAAGCAUAAGCUAUCUUUCCAUUUGUCUGCAUCGCCUUUGGUUUCUUUCAACAGUCUUGUAGUUUUCAUUGUACAGAUCUUUUACUUCAUUGAUGAAAUUUAUUCCUGGUAUUUUGAUGCUAUUGGGAAUGGGAUAGUUUUAUUUUUCAGAUGUUUCAUUGUUGGUGUACAGAAAUGCAGCUGACUUGUGUGUGAUGAUUUUGUAUCCUACUAAAUUCAUUGAUUACUUCUAACAGUUUUUUGGUUGAGAUUUUGAGAUUUUCCGAUAUGGUCAUUCUUUGGUAUCUGCAGGAGACUGAUUUCAAGAACCCCCACUGACACCCAUGGGUGCAGAGGGCUGACUGUAUCAUAUCAUCUCUUUGCAAAUGAAAAUUUUACUUCUUCCUUUCUGAUUUGGAUAGAUUUUCUUUCACUGUCUUGCCUAACUGCUCUAGUGAGGACUUAGAAUGCUAAUAUUGAAUAAGAAUGGUAAGAGUGGGCAUCCUUGUCUUAUUCCUGAUCUUAGAAGAAAAACUCAAUUUUUCACUGUUGAGCAUGUUUGCUGAGGGCUUGUCACAUCUGCCCUUUAUUUUGUUGAGGUAUAUUCCUUCCAUAUCCAAUCUGUUGUGGAAAAGAUGCUGCAUUUUGUUAUAUGUAUUUUGUGACAUUUCUUUCAUUCCAUUAAUGUGGUGUAUAACAUUUAUUGACUUGUGUAUGUUGAACCAUCCUUGUAUCCCAAGGAUAAAUACCGGCUAAAGCUUAUAUUUAGUUGCUCCUAUGUUGAAUGCACACAUCUUUAUGAUUGUUUUAUCUUGUUUACCAACCCUCUUUAUCAUUACAUAAUGACAGUCUUUGCUGCUUGUUAUUGUUUAUUGAGUUUCUUCAAGACAGCAAGUCUGAAUUUUUUAUCUGCUAAAUCACAGUAUCCUGUGGCUUUCAGCUCGGGUGUUGGGGAAUUAUUGAUAUCUUCUGGGGUAACAUAUUUUCUUGUUUUUUCAUGUUUCCUAUAUUUCUCCAUAGCUGUUUUUGCAUGUGACAUAGCAGACCCCUCCUAAAAUCUUGACUGGCUGCCCUCAGCUGGGAUGCGGAUCCCUGGUGUUGCCACAGGAAGGGUUUGCUCAGUUUUGAAUGGGUAGACCUGUUCCACUCGUCUUGUUCUGUCUUGGGGCAGAAUUCUCAACCUUUUAUGUUUCCUCUCCUUAGAACUCCCCAGGCUGGCUGCUGGAAACCUCUCUUUUGUUUUCCAGAAGAUGGUGGCAUAGCUCCAGUUGUAAUUCCUCCCUUACUCAUGGACCCUAGUCCAUUUUUCUGAGCUGCUCCAACCACUGGGCCUGCUCUCACUGCCACACUCGGGAGAUGCAGAAGGAUCCGGCCACGGAAUGGGAGCAGUCAUGGAGGUCCCACCCCAAAGCUCUGGGUGCUGCUGUGGGGGAAAGAGGUUCUGCCAGGAGGGACCCCAACAAUAGGAAUGGCCUGGCACUGACUCACUGCUUCCCACCUCCUCCAGGAGAAGAUGUCUGUGCAGCUCCUACUGGAUACAGAAGAUGCUGAUACACCAAAGAGGGAUCUUUCUCAAUAAGAUGGGUUUUCAGAGACUGAAUGAGAAGGAUGAAUGCAUCCCCUUCAAGUUUGUUGCUCAGCAACACCGGCAGAUCUUUCGGUUCCGUGAUGGAUAACAGAGGGAGAAACCUUUGGAGCUUCUUUCACAUGGUAGCCUCUUACUCUUGGUGGAAAGGUAACACGAUCGGUGGCUUGAUACUAGCAUUCAUGAACCCACGGGAAUUGUGAGCUGACGUUCUUCACUAAAGGCAAAGCAAAAAAAAGCUACCGUGCAAGACAUGUAGUUACCUAAAUUCAUUAAGGUAGGUAGGUUUGAUCCUGGGGUAAUCCCAGACCCCUGAUGAGGCCGGUCUUGUUUCAGGACACUAAACGUCUGAAUCAACAGGGAACAUGUCUAUGGGGGUGGUGUGAGGACCCCUCAAACUGAAUCAGCCCUGUGGGGUUCUCCAGGUCGACCUGCAAGCCAAGCUCUAUGGCCAUAGACUACCAGGGCCACCUGGAGUGGAAGCGAUAAAACCACAGGCCAGAUGUGGGGGGGAAGGGACCCAGGAAGAAAGGAUGCAGACAUCUCAACUUCCCUGGACCCAAGGGCUGCACCUGUGCAAUCUGUCUAGUUGGAGGAAACCCAAGAAAGCAAGCCAUACACUUAGCAAAGUGUUAGAACAGAGGCAGCCAAGUGCGAAGAGAGGGCGGGACAGCAGGAAGGGUGGGGAUGGCGUGGGGCAGAGGAGGGGCCGGGCUGCGGGUCAACACAGGUGGUCAGACCACCACCAGCCACCAGCACCCCGAGCCGGGACACUGUGGGAGAAAGGACAGCCGGGCCCCCCCCCCCCCGCCCUCAUUGAAGCAGAUGUCUCAUGAAGGGAAACAAUAAGAAAACAAAUAAAACGAAUAAAUAAAGCAAGCGUGACUUACUCUCAUUUAUGCAUUGAAGAAAAGCAAGGAUUGAGAUGACACCAAAGGGGGACGGUGUCUCCUUGGAGACAGAGAACACAAGAAAGAAAGGAAAGCCGGCCACGCGGGGUGGGGGGAUGGGGGGGUGCGGGUGUGUGUGUGGGGGGGCAACCUGCAGAGAGAAAAACACGUCUCUGGCAAAAAGGAGAACACUCUUAAGUUGCUAAUGACAGCUGUGGCGCAGGUGGCAGAUGUGGCUCGGAUCAGAUCCUUGGCGGGGGAACUUCUAUGUUCUGUGAGUUCGGCCAUAAAAGGAAAAAAAAAAGUUGCUAAUGACCUAAGGGAAGAAAAUAAAGUAUCAUCGUAUGUGUUUGUGAUGAUAACAUUUGCUAUCAAAAGAUAUACUUAAACAACAAUAACCAUCACUUUAAGGAGCUAUUUAUUACUCUUUUUGAUCUUUUGGCCUGGUAGCACCCCCAGUCGGCUGUAAAUUCCCCAGGUGGGCACCAGGUCCACCAGCUCUGUGCUCCCAAAGCUUAGCCUUUGAGUGGUCCUCUCGCAAUGAAACACAUUGUAAGUAAAAGCAAAAUGUUCAGUUAUCAGUUAUCUUUUCUUGUGAAGAACAGGAAAAGAUAACUGAUUAAGGAAAGCUGGCACACAGGGGAGAAAAGAAUUACAGCCGGCUUGAAAACAAAAAAAUACGUGACGGGAGUUCCCAUCAUGGCCCAGCAGAAACGAAUCCGACUAGGAACCAUGAGGUUUCGGGUUCGAUCCCUGGC